GUAGGUGGCAAGCGUUGUCCGGAGUUAUUGGGCGUAAAGCGCGCGCAGGCGGUUCUUUAAGUCUGAUGUGAAAGCCCACGGCUCAACCGUGGAGGGUCAUUGGAAACUGGAGAACUUGAGUACAGAAGAGGAAAGCGGAAUUCCACGUGUAGCGGUGAAAUGCGUGGAGAUGUGGAGGAACACCAGUGGCGAAGGCGGCUUUCCGGUCUGUAACUGACGCUGAGGCGCGAAAGCGUGGGGAGCAAACAGGGAUUAGAUACCCUGGUAGUCCACGCCGUAAACGAUGAGUGCUAGGUGUUAGGGGGUUUCCCGCCCCUUAGUGCUGCAGCUAACGCAUUAAGCACUCCGCCUGGGGAUACGGCCGCAAGGCUG
rnacentral:rRNA from 1 species